rnacentral:rRNA from 1 species
GAUGAACGCUGGCGGCGUGCCUAACACAUGCUUGUCGAACGAAGCUCUUACGACGGAACUCUUCGGAGGGAAGAUGUAUUAGACUGAGUGGCGGACGGGUGAGUAUCGCGUGGGUAACCUGCCCUGUACAGGGGGACAACAGUUGGAAACGACUGCUAAUACCGCAUAAGCCUACGGUGCCGCAUGGCACAGCAGGAAAAACUCCGGUGGUACAGGAUGGGCCCGCGUCUGAUUAGUUAGUUGGCGGGGUAACGGCCCACCAAGACGACGAUCAGUAGCCGGCUUGAGAGAGUGAACGGCCACAUUGGGACUGAGACACGGCCCAAACUCCUACGGGAGGCAGCAGUGGGGAAUAUUGCACAAUGGGGGAAACCCUGAUGCAGCAACGCCGCGUGAGUGAAGAAGUAUUUCGGUAUGUAAAGCUCUAUCAGCAGGGAAGAAAAUGACGGUACCUGACUAAGAAGCCCCGGCUAACUACGUGCCAGCAGCCGCGGUAAUACGUAGGGGGCAAGCGUUAUCCGGAUUUACUGGGUGUAAAGGGAGCGCAGGCGGUCUGGCAAGUCUGAUGUGAAAACCCGGGGCUCAACCCCGGGACUGCAUUGGAAACUGUCAGACUAGAGUGUCGGAGAGGUAAGUGGAAUUCCUGGUGUAGUAGUGAAAUGCGUAGAUAUCAGGAGAAACACCGGUGGCGAAGGCGGUUUACUGGACCAUAACUGACGCUGAGACACGAAAGCGUGGGGAGCCCACAAGAUUAGAUACCCUGGUAGUCCACGCUGUAAACGAUGAAAAUGGGUGUGGGGAUCGCAGGAUUUCCGUGCCGCAGUUAACACAAUAAGUAUUCCACCUGGGGAGUACGGCCGCAAGGUUGAAACUCAAAGGAAUUGACGGGAGCCCGCACAAGCAGUGGAGUAUGUGGUUUAAUUGGACGCAACGCGAAGACCCUUACCAGAGCUUGACAUCCUGAGGACCCGACGUAAUGGUUGGUGUGCCCUUCGGGGAACUCAGAGACAGGUGGUGCAUGGUUGUCGUCAGCUCGUGUCGUGAGAUGUUGGGUUAAGUCCCGCAACGAGCGCAACCCUUACGGUUAGUUGCUACGAAAGAGCACUCUGGCCGGACUGCCGUUGACAAAACGGAGGAAGGUGGGGACGACGUCAAAUCAUCAUGCCCCUUACGUUCUGGGCUACACACGUACUACAAUGGCGCAAACAGAGGGAAGCUAAGCCGCGAGGCGGAGCAAACCCCAAAAAAGGCGUCCCAGUUCGGACUGUAGGCUGCAACCCGCCUGCACGAAGAUGGAAUUAAUAGUAAUCGCGGAUCAGCAUGCCGCGGUGAAUA